rnacentral:rRNA from 1 species
AUUUCGUUCGCCGUCUCGGUUGUGUUUUGCCCUGGCCUCUCGCCGAGCCGCCACCGCCUGCCAUCGAGCCUCUGGUGUGCGCCUACACCUCCCCCUUCCUGACUCGGCUUCUCUGUGAAGGUUUCUAUGUCUGCCUAGGAGCUCCAGGAUCACGGCUCUUCGAGCUCGGCUGCCUCCACCAACAAUAAUCUGCGAGCGCUUGCCCAGGUUUCAACAUGAAUCCUGUGAACCUUCUGUCCAAAGUCAUCCUAGAUGCUAUGUUUGAGAAAGUCGGCCUUCCAGCGGCCGCCUACUCGGCACGUGCAGUUCAUCUCGGGUGCGUUGAAGUCACAGUCGGCUUCCAUCCAAUUUCCAGUGAACUGGAGCGUCCUGUUAGUCAGACAUAUAUUUCAACCUUUGCUUUCACUGAUCUGGAAGAAGCGCAGAAUCAUGUUGCGCGUAAAGCCAUGGAAUUCAUGGAGAAGGAACACAAUGUGGUCCCAAGUGAUUAUAGCUAUAACAAACUUCAGUCUGCUAGGCUUAACAACGAGUCACUGCGUCAGCGUCUGAAAGAAAAGGACCGCAGUAUCGAAUCAUUGAAAAAGGUCAAUACAUCUCUGGUGCAGCAACUAGAAGAGAAGAACAACAUCUUGACUCUAUUAUGAAGACAAAUAGAGACAUGAUGGAGAAGCUGGCUGAAAAGGAUGCAGUCAUUGAAUCCAUCAACAAGGUCCAUCAAAUACUGCUGAAGCAGCUUAGUGAGAAACACGAGAUCAUAAAAAAGCUCAGCAAAGGCUGGGAUAACUCACUGGAUACUGGAUUUUCAGCAACCAUCCAACUUCAGUGUCUGAUUGAUGAGGGCAUGUCCCAUGGAUCAACAUAGGCAGGCAUUGAGCUCAAUGCGACUCUCCAGAAUGCUCAGCACAUAUGUGAGUACCUUGAGCAGAACACUAUCCUUGCUGUUGAGUACCUACAGUCCAUUGGGACAUAUCCAUAUGACCCAAAGCCAGGUUUUACUGAUGAUGAAGACAACUGUUCAGUGGACCCCGAGCCCGUGCCACCAGAGCAUCCACCCUACAUGAGAAGUUGUUUGGAUGAUGAGGAGAUCUUUGAUAGUGAAGGCAAUUGCUCUACAGACUACGACACUUUGCUCAAGGAGCACUACUGAUACAACAUCACCAACAUGCCAGCGUGAUUCUCUUGAGGAUCGCUCGGUGGUAUCAGCUUGCUAUCUUUUACUACGUGGUAUAUGCAUCUUACAUCUGCGCUACGACCGUUGCUCUCCUAUGUAGUACCCUACUGAACUUAUUUUCUAUGUAAACUAUGUGGCAUGUGCUGCACUACUCUACUCUAUUAUGCACUACCCCAGCCCACUGAACUUAUUUAUGUAAAUUAUAUGGUGUGUACCAGGGAUAUAGUCCAUUAUCUCCCAG